CUCUGGGCCGAGCAGCUGGGCCCCUCUGCCCAGACCCAGAUGCAAAUCACCUGCCUCCAUUUCAGCUCUCAACCUUCUUUUUUCUCAGAUGGCUAUGAACAGAAGAUUGACUUCUCAGUGAGCCUACGUUGUAUCUUUCUUCCCAUCGAGUCCAUUUAACUCAGAAUCACAGGUCUUGAUUGAGUUUUUCAGCAUGAUCUACAUGGUCAGCUCAGCUGGGUCUGACCAUCAUCAUCAGGCCAAGGAAGAGAAAAUGACAUGGAACUCUUUCCCAUGAACGAGACUCUUCUGCCACCUUUGGACUACCUUGAGAAGUAUGAAAACUUCUCAAGUUUUCAGCUUGAGAAGGGCUUGCAUCCUGAAGGAGAAAUGAACAAACAGUAUUAAUUGUGAUGAUGCAGCCUACAACAAGUGCUAUGAUAGAGACUGAAAAACAAGUGCUCGUUCAUUUUUACUGGAAAGGCAGAAGCUGGAUUCAGCCUGGAAAGGAAAAUCACUGAGAAGAUGGUAUGAACUAAACAAAUAAAUGGGAUUUUAACAAAUAGAGAAUACAACUUACUGUGUUUUAUAAAGGGAGGCAGAAUAACCUAAUCUGAAUACACUUUGGAUAUGAAUAAGGGUUCCAGGAGAUGAGAGAGGGAGCGUAUGGAUAUCUGGGGUAAACGCAUUUCUGGCUGAGAAGACAGCAAGUACAAAUGCCCUGAUCAGGGCUUUCAAGGAAUGGCAAAAAACUCAAGGAUCCUGGAGUACAGUGUGCAAGCCUAAGUGGGUCCAAGAUCAGAUCUGAGUGAUAGGAAGGGGAGAGGGCAGACUACAUAGAGCCUGGUAUGUCAUUGUAAGAACCUGGGCUUUUUCUCUGAGCAAAAUAUGAAGUCAUUAGAAUUUUGGAGCUAACAAGGGGCAGAACUGUCACUCUCAUUGCUGUGUUGAGAAUAGAAAGAAAGGAUCAAAGACGUAAGUCAGAAGACCAGUUAGGAGACUAUGGCAGUAUUUCAGGUAAAACACGAUGGUGUCUCAGACAAGGGUGGUGGCAGAACUAGUGGGAUUCUUAAAUUUUGGAGGUGGGAUCAAUAAAAAUGUGUUGAUGGAUUGGAAGCAUAAGAGAAAGGGUACCCAGGAAUGACCUCAAGUUCUUGGCCAGAGCAGCUGAGGAGAGGGGGUUGCCAAUAGUAACUGAGAACAUGAAGCUCGGAGGAGGAGUGAUAUAGGAGGUGAGCAAGGAGCUCAGCCAUAGACAUGCUACAUUUAAGACACGUUUUAGUCUUGUUUGGUGAUAUCAGGUUGGCAAUUGGAUGUGCUGGUCUAGAGUUCAGACAAGUGGCUUUAGAGCAUAAUAAUACAUGAUUAGAUGAUUGUAGAGGGAAGACAGAAUUGUGAUGCCAAAGUUUGUGGCUUGCUCCACUAUGGUGAAUUGCUUCCUAAAUGAUUUUAAUAUUUUUUGUGUUCUAAUGAUGUGAAAUGUGUCAGGAAACCUGCAAGGAGUUCACUGGAAUUGUACAUUUGACUAUUAGCUUAUUUUUAAAUAGUAAAACAUUUUUACUCUAAAAAUAAAAAAUUAAAAUAAUCACAUAUAGCCUAUUGCUUAAGUGAUAAUCAUUUCUGAAAGUCUGUUAUAUUUAUUUCCCGUCUUUUCUUCUUUGAAUAUUUGUAA